UAUUCUUGGAUUUUGACAUUCCUUUGUUCUUUGAGAUAAGUGCCUGUGAAUCAAUCUGAGAUGUUGUUGAAUUUUUUUUUCUCAACUCCUCAUUCAACAAACAACUUGUUAUUUGACUCAUAGUGACAACACCAUCUAGCGUAGAAUUACUGAGGGAAACCACUAAUGUCUCACAACUUUCUAGUAGUGAACUAAGAAGUAACAAUGCCUGCAACUCAUCAUCAAGAGAUAUUUUUAUAGAGGAUAACUAGUUAGUGAUACUCUACAUUUCAUUCAAAUGCUUAGCAAUAGAAACACCCUCUUUAUAUUUCAGGUUUACAAGUUUUCUAAUCAAGAAACCUUAGUUGCUAACCGUUUUUCUUUCAUAGAGAC
rnacentral:lncRNA from 1 species